rnacentral:rRNA from 1 species
AGCACUAUACAGUGAAACUGCGAAUGGCUCAUUAAAUCAGUUAUCGUUUAUUUGAUAGUACCUUACUACUUGGAUAACCGUGGUAAUUCUAGAGCUAAUACAUGCUAAAAAUCCCGACCUCCGGAAGGGAUGUAUUUAUUAGAUAAAAAACCAAUGCCUUCGGGCUCCUUGGUGAUUCAUGAUAACUUAACGAAUCGCAUGGCCUUGCGCCGGCGAUGGUUCAUUCAAAUUUCUGCCCUAUCAACUUUCGAUGGUAGGAUAGUGGCCUACCAUGGUUUCAACGGGUAACGGGGAAUUAGGGUUCGAUUCCGGAGAGGGAGCCUGAGAAACGGCUACCACAUCCAAGGAAGGCAGCAGGCGCGCAAAUUACCCAAUCCCGAUUCGGGGAGGUAGUGACAAUAAAUACUGAUACAGGGCUCUUUUGGGUCUUGUAAUUGGAAUGAGUACAAUUUAAAUCCCUUAACGAGGAACAAUUGGAGGGCAAGUCUGGUGCCAGCAGCCGCGGUAAUUCCAGCUCCAAUAGCGUAUAUUAAAGUUGUUGCAGUUAAAAAGCUCGUAGUUGAACCUUGGGUUUGGCUGCUCGGUCCGCCUAACCGCGUGCACUGAUGCGGCCGGAUCUUUCCUUCUGGCUAACCUCAUGCCCUUUACUGGGUGUGCUGGGGAUCCAGGACUUUUACUUUGAAAAAAUUAGAGUGUUCAAAGCACGCCUUUGCUCGAAUACAUUAGCAUGGAAUAAUAGAAUAGGACGGCGGUUCUAUUUUGUUGGUUUCUAGAGCCACCGUAAUGAUUAAUAGGGAUAGUCGGGGGCAUCAGUAUUCAAUUGUCAGAGGUGAAAUUCUUGGAUUUUAUUGAAGACUAACUACUGCGAAAGCAUUUGCCA